GGGGAUGUAGCUCAGAUGGUAGAGCGCUCGCUUAGCAUGCGAGAGGUACCGAGAUCGAUACUCGGCAUCUCCA
rfam:Tetranychus urticae London genomic scaffold, scaffold_7